UUAUAUCCUGAGAGCAUGAAAUGUAACUCUGUUCUCCCACUCAAAAAUCAUAGCAGCUCAAGAGCAUUCAAUAAGUGGAUUGUUCUGUGUCCAGGAAGCCCUUGAGGUGACUCUUGCAAGGAAAACCCUGAAAUGGAGGCAUGGGGGAAAUGGAAUCUUCCUGUUUCAUCACUGUUUUAAAGCCAGCAGAGCACCACUGGCAUCAGCUUUCUGCACCAGAUGGGGAAGUGGGUAUCUUCUCUUACAAGGAAACCCUUGACCUGCAGGUUGCUGGAAGCUGAUGAAAGUACCUUGGGGAAGCAACACUAUGUGCCUGCUCUGCUCUUAGUUGAAUAUUUGUGCAUCUGCUAGAAGCCUUCUCAGGAAGCAGCUCUCAAUGGACACGUACUCUGACCAGUGUGUAGCAGUCUUAUCAAGGGACAUGUUCCUAGGGGGACAUUGGGAAGAGCUUCGGAAAAGGAAAAGAAGAAUUACAGGCCAUGGGGAGAUGGAAAAAAAGGUCUGAAAUAAGUGCACCCAUUAAAGACCAGGACUGUACUGCAAGUGUUCUCCACCUGAGGCAAACCUCCUGUGAAAGUGCCUUUGCAUACGACUUUUCUGAGUAAGAGAUGGAAAACAUUCAGGUGAGUCCUCAUCAGAACUGGAAGGGUUGUGUGUCUGAGGAAAGGCCCCCUUUGUUGCAAUACUUCUUCCCCUCU